rnacentral:rRNA from 1 species
UACAGAGGUCUCAAGCGUUGUUCGGAUUCAUUGGGCGUAAAGGGUGCGUAGGCGGCGCGGUAAGUCGGGGUGUGAAAUCUCGGAGCUUAACUCCGAAACUGCAUUCGAUACUGCCGUGCUUGAGGACUGGAGAGGAGACUGGAAUUUACGGUGUAGCGGUGAAAUGCGUAGAUAUCAAGAGGAACACCAGUGGCGAAGGCGAGUCUCUGGACAACUCCUGACACUGAGGCACGAAAGCUAGGGGAGCAAACAGG